UAAUAGUUAUAUGAAACCAUAAAACACAUAGUUAAUUUAUAAAAGGUGCAUCUCGUUUGUUACGACACUUCAUUACAAAUCAAGUGCAUAUAUUCCCCCACUUUGGGGACUACUCGACGGGCUCACUACUAUCACGCCCGCAAACCUUCACCCUGCCUGGACGCCUCUGCCCACUCGCGUCGAACGCCGCGUCACACGCCACUACCGACGCCAGGACGCCAGGACAGUAACGCUCAGCUACGCUGCGAUCCAUUUGCCAUCACCACCGUAGGCCUACGACCCACGUCCCUAAAUAGUCCUAAUAAAUAGAUUUAACACUUUGUA